rnacentral:rRNA from 1 species
GACGAACGCUGGCGGCGUGCCUAAUACAUGCAAGUAGAACGCUGAAGGAGGAGCUUGCUUCUCUGGAUGAGUUGCGAACGGGUGAGUAACGCGUAGGUAACCUGCCUGGUAGCGGGGGAUAACUAUUGGAAACGAUAGCUAAUACCGCAUAAUAGCAGUUGUUGCAUGACAACUGUUUGAAAGGUGCAAUUGCACCACUACCAGAUGGACCUGCGUUGUAUUAGCUAGUUGGUGGGGUAAAGGCUCACCAAGGCGACGAUACAUAGCCGACCUGAGAGGGUGAUCGGCCACACUGGGACUGAGAAACGGCCCAGGCUCCUACGGGAGGCAGCAGUAGGGAAUCUUCGGCAAUGGAGGGAAGUCUGACCGAGCAACGCCGCGUGAGUGAAGAAGGUUUUCGGAUCGUAAAGCUCUGUUGUAAGAGAAGAACGAGUGUGGGAGUGGAAAGUUCACACUGUGACGGUAUCUUACCAGAAAGAGACGGCUAACUACGUG